rnacentral:rRNA from 1 species
AUUGAACGCUGGCGGCAGGCCUAACACAUGCAAGUCGAGCGGAUGAAGGGAGCUUGCUCCUGGAUUCAGCGGCGGACGGGUGAGUAAUGCCUAGGGAUCUGCCUGGUAGUGGGGGAUAACGUCCGGAAACGGGCGCUAAUACCGCAUACGUCCUGAGGGAGAAAGUGGGGGAUCUUCGGACCUCACGCUAUCAGAUGAGCCUAGGUCGGAUUAGCUAGUUGGUGGGGUAAAGGCCUACCAAGGCGACGAUCCGUAACUGGUCUGAGAGGAUGAUCAGUCACACUGGAACUGAGACACGGUCCAGACUCCUACGGGAGGCAGCAGUGGGGAAUAUUGGACAAUGGGCGAAAGCCUGAUCCAGCCGUGCCGCGUGUGUGAAGAAGGUCUUCGGAUUGUAAAGCACUUUAAGUUGGGAGGAAGGGCAGUAAGUUAAUACCUUGCUGUUUUGACGUUACCAACAGAAUAAGCACCGGCUAACUUCGUG